CCCCACGUUCGGAUUGCAGCCUGCAACUCGGCUGCAUGAAGCUGGAAUCGCUAGUAAUCGCGGAUCAGAAUGCCGCGGUGAAUACGUUCCCGGGUCUUGUACACACCGCCCGUCACACCAUGGGAGCCGGGAAUGCCCGAAGUCAGUGGCCCAACCGCAGGGAGGGAGCUGCCGAAGGCAGGCCUGGUGACUGGGGUGAAGUCGUAACAAGGUAAC
rnacentral:rRNA from 1 species